ensembl:snoRNA LOC120102697 small nucleolar RNA SNORA17
UCUUCCUCUGUGUAACCCAUUAAAAUGCAAACACAGUGCCUGUGCAUCAGUAGGUGGCAGGGGGGAGAGAGGCUACGUUGACACUCAGUGUUCUGACCCGUGAACAUCAGAAUGAGAAGGAGCCUAACAUU